rnacentral:tRNA from 1 species
AGUUUUAUAGUCUAAUUAAUGAUUUUAAAUUGCAAAUUUAAAGGUGAAUAUUUAUAGUUCUAUAACUU